AGAUUGAACGCUGGCGGCAGGCCUAACACAUGCAAGUCGAGCGGCAGCACGGGUACUUGUACCUGGUGGCGAGCGGCGGACGGGUGAGUAAUGCCUAGGAAUCUGCCUGGUAGUGGGGGAUAACGCUCGGAAACGGACGCUAAUACCGCAUACGUCCUACGGGAGAAAGCAGGGGACCUUCGGGCCUUGCGCUAUCAGAUGAGCCUAGGUCGGAUUAGCUAGUUGGUGAGGUAAUGGCUCACCAAGGCGACGAUCCGUAACUGGUCUGAGAGGAUGAUCAGUCACACUGGAACUGAGACACGGUCCAGACUCCUACGGGAGGCAGCAGUGGGGAAUAUUGGACAAGUGGGCGAAAGCCUGAUCCAGCCAUGCCGCGUGUGUGAAGAAGGUCUUCGGAUUGUAAAGCACUUUAAGUUGGAGGAAGGCAGUUACCUAAUACGUAUCUGUUUUGACGUUACGACAGAAUAAGCACCGGCUAACUCUGUGU
rnacentral:rRNA from 1 species